AUUGAACGCUGGCGGCAGGCUUAACACAUGCAAGUCGAGCGGAGAUGAGGUGCUUGCACCUUAUCUUAGCGGCGGACGGGUGAGUAAUGCUUAGGAAUCUGCCUAUUAGUGGGGGACGACAUUCCGAAAGGAAUGCUAAUACCGCAUACGCCCUACGGGGGAAAGCAGGGGAUCUUCGGACCUUACGCUAAUAGAUGAGCCUAAGUCGGAUUAGCUAGUUGGUGGGGUAAAGGCCUACCAAGGCGACGAUCUGUAGCGGGUCUGAGAGGAUGAUCCGCCACACUGGGACUGAGACACGGCCCAGACUCCUACGGGAGGCAGCAGUGGGGAAUAUUGGACAAUGGGCGGAAGCCUGAUCCAGCCAUGCCGCGUGUGUGAAGAAGGCCUUUUGGUUGUAAAGCACUUUAAGCGAGGAGGAGGCUACCUGGAUUAAUACUCUAGGAUAGUGGACGUUACUCGCAGAAUAAGCACCGGCUAACUCUGUGCCAGCCGCCGCAGUAAUAC
rnacentral:rRNA from 1 species